UACGGGGGGGGCAAGCGUUGUUCGGAAUUACUGGGCGUAAAGGGUUUGUAGGUGGCUUGCUAAGUCAGACGUGAAAUCCCUCAGCUUAACUGGGGAACUGCGUCUGAUACUGGCGAGCUUGAGUGCAGGAGAGGAACGCGGAAUUCCAGGUGUAGCGGUGAAAUGCGUAGAUAUCUGGAGGAACACCGGUGGCGAAGGCGGCGUUCUGGACUGUAACUGACACUGAGAAACGAAAGCCAGGGUAGCAAACGGGG
rnacentral:rRNA from 1 species